rnacentral:tRNA from 1 species
CGGGAAGUAGCUCAGCUUGGUAGAGCACUUGGUUUGGGACCAAGGGGUCGCAGGUUCGAAUCCUGUCUUCCCGAUAG